rnacentral:rRNA from 1 species
UACGGGGGGGGGUAAGCGUUGUCCGGAAUCAUUGGGCGUAAAGCGCGUGUAGGCGGUUCGGUAAGUCCGCUGUGAAAGUCGGGGGCUCAACCCUCGGAUGCCGGUGGAUACUGUCGGACUAGAGUACGGAAGAGGCGAGUGGAAUUCCUGGUGUAGCGGUGAAAUGCGCAGAUAUCAGGAGGAACACCGAUUGCGAAGGCAGCUCGCUGGGACGUUACUGACGCUGAGACGCGAAAGCGUGGGGAGCAAACAGG